AAAACUCACCAUGGCCGACGGACAUAUGAAAGCCAGUGUAACGAGCUUGCUGGAUUGUUCGAGAGGUAUUGCAUGGCCGCCGUCAGUUCGUACCGCAAGGCGUUCUGUUAAGUCAGAUAACGAACGAGACCCUCAUCCCUAUUUGCCAAGGUCUGUCCGCAGAUCACGGGACUAUAGGGAGACCGCUGGCGCGAAGUCAGAGGAAGGCGAGGGCAACGGUAGGUCAGUAUGAUCCGAAUGCCAUGGGCUACACGCGCAAUACAAAGGACGGGACAAUGGGCUGCUACUCCGAGAGGAAGAAGCUAUCCCGAAACCCGUUCGUAGUUCGGAUUGGGGGCUGUAACCCGCCCCCAUGAAGCUGGAUUAGGUAGUAAUCGCGUCUCAACAAGGCGCGGUGAAUAUGCCCCUGCUCCUUGCACACACCGCCCGUCAAACCAUCUUAGUUGUGGGUGGGUGAGGCUACCUUGAUAAUGGGGUAUUCGAGCCUGCCUUCGACAAGGAGGGUUAAGUCGUAACAAGGUAUCUGUA
rnacentral:rRNA from 1 species